rnacentral:rRNA from 1 species
UACGGAGGGUGCAAGCGUUGUCCGGAUUUAUUGGGUUUAAAGGGUGCGUAGGUGGUUUUCUAAGUCUGGUUUGAAAGCUGGUGGCUUAACCAUCAGAUGUGGCUGGAAACUGGAGGACUUGAAUGCGUUGGCGGUAGCCGGAACGGGUCAUGUAGCGGUGAAAUGCAUAGAUAUGACCCAGAACACCGAUUGCGAAGGCAGGCUACUACGACGUGAUUGACACUGAGGCACGAGAGCAUGGGUAGCGAACAGG